rnacentral:rRNA from 1 species
CCCUUAGAUGUUCUGGGCCGCACGCGUGCUACACUGAUGCAUUCAACGAGUCUAAAACCUGGUCUGAUAGGGCUGGGUAAUCUUUUGAAAGUGCAUCGUGAUUGGGAUAGAUGAUUGCAAUUCUUCAUCUUCAACGAGGAAUGCCUAGUAAACGCAAGUCAUCAGCUUGCAUUGAUUACGUCUCUGCCCUUUGUACACACCGCCCGUCGCUCCUACCGAUUGAAUGAUCCGAUGAAUACCAUGGAUUGAGAGUACGAAUAGGUUCGCUUAUUUCUGCUGCUCGAGAAGUGGAGUAAAUCUUAUCAUUUAGAGGAAGGAGAAGUCGUAACA